AUCUCCCCAGGAAGGCUCGAACUUCCAACCUCCUGAUUAACAGUCAGACGCGCUAGCCAAUUGCGCCAUGGAGGA